GCGACUGGGCCGACGUCGCAUGCUCCCGGCCGCCAUGGCGGCCGCGGGAAUUCGAUUCAAAUGCCUGACGGAGCAACGCCGCGUGAGGGACGAAGGCCUCUGGGCUGUAAACCUCUUUUCUCAAGGAAGAAGAUAUGACGGUACUUGAGGAAUAAGCCACGGCUAAUUCCGUGCCAGCAGCCGCGGUAAUACGGGAGUGGCAAGCGUUAUCCGGAAUUAUUGGGCGUAAAGCGUCCGCAGGCGGCUUUUCAAGUCUGCUGUUAAAACGUGGAGCUUAACUCCAUCAUGGCAGUGGAAACUGAAAGGCCUGAGUAUGGUAGGGGCAGAGGGAAUUCCCGGUGUAGCGGUGAAAUGCGUAGAUAUCGGGAAGAACACCAGUGGCGAAGGCGCUCUGCUGGGCCAUUACUGACGCUCAUGGACGAAAGCCAGGGGAGCGAAAG
rnacentral:rRNA from 1 species